rnacentral:rRNA from 1 species
UACGUAGGGGGCAAGCGUUGUCCGGAUUUAUUGGGCGUAAAGAGCGUGUAGGCGGCCAGGUAAGUCCGUUGUGAAAACUCGAGGCUCAACCUCGAGACGCCGAUGGAAACCCCCUGGCUAGAGUCCGGAAGAGGAGAAUGGAAUUCCUGGUGUAGCGGUGAAAUGCGCAGAUAUCAGGAAGAACACCCGUGGCUAAGGCGGUUCUCUAGUACGGUACUGACGCUGAGGAGCGAAAGCGUGGGGAGCGAACAGG